CCUGGCGGCCGUAGCGCGGUGGUCCCACCUGACCCCAUGCCGAACUCAGAAGUGAAACGCCGUAGCGCCGAUGGUAGUGUGGGGUC
rnacentral:rRNA from 1 species